rnacentral:rRNA from 1 species
AUUGAACGCUGGCGGCAGGCCUAACACAUGCAAGUCGAACGGUAACAGAAAGCAGCUUGCUGCUUUGCUGACGAGUGGCGGACGGGUGAGUAAUGUCUGGGAAACUGCCUGAUGGAGGGGGAUAACUACUGGAAACGGUAGCUAAUACCGCAUAACGUCGCAAGACCAAAGAGGGGGACCUUCGGGCCUCUUGCCAUCGGAUGUGCCCAGAUGGGAUUAGCUAGUAGGUGGGGUAAAGGCUCACCUAGGCGACGAUCCCUAGCUGGUCUGAGAGGAUGACCAGCCACACUGGAACUGAGACACGGUCCAGACUCCUACGGGAGGCAGCAGUGGGGAAUAUUGCACAAUGGGCGCAAGCCUGAUGCAGCCAUGCCGCGUGUAUGAAGAAGGCCUUCGGGUUGUAAAGUACUUUCAGCGGGGAGGAAGGGAGUAAAGUUAAUACCUUUGCUAAUUGACGUCACCCGCAGAAGAAGCACCGGCUAACUCCGUG